AGUGAACGCUGGCGGCAGGCCUAACACAUGCAAGUCGAACGGCAGCACAGCAGUAGCAAUACUGUGGGUGGCGAGUGGCGGACGGGUGAGGAAUACAUCGGGAUCUACCUUUUCGUGGGGGAUAACGUAGGGAAACUUACGCUAAUACCGCAUACGCCUACGGGGAAAGCGGCGGACCGCAAGGCGUCGCGCGAUGAGAUGAACCGAUGUCCGAUUAGCUAGUUGGCGGGGGUAAAGGCCCACCAAGGCGACGAUCGGUAGCUGAUCUGAGAGGAUGAUCAGCCACACUGGAACUGAGACACGGUCCAGACUCCUAUGGGAGGCAGCAGUAGGGAAUAUUGGACAAUAGGGUGUAAGCCUGAUCCAGCCAUGCCGCGUGCAGG
rnacentral:rRNA from 1 species